rnacentral:lncRNA from 1 species
CAAAGAGUGAGGGUGUUCACCCUUUUGCAGGUGCAGCUGCUGCAGUGGCAAACAGCAUUCAAUCAGCAAAGGAUGCCAUCUCUGGUGGUGCCAAAGAAUCCAAAGAUGAUAAGACCAGUAAAUGAGUGAGUGCAGCCGGUGCACGAUGACAUGAUAUCAUGUAACGUUCGCUUGUUAUUCGACGGAAAUAAAAACUGUAUUAGGAAAUGAAAUGAAGUUCAAGUGCACAUAUAUUUGUGUUUCCUUGUACUUGUUUUGUUAGAAAUUGUGCGAUUGCAAGUUUUUAAGAGAUUUAUCAUCCAUCUCAUUCCUUCGUCAAGCUGUGUGCAUCUCCUUGUUCGUGAGGAGGAUCUUCUGUACGUGACGUUCAUUCAAGAGAAAAUAAAGCACGAUGGAGUAUUGCAAGACAAUAGGAUUUGGUGUAGCUUUGAUUGUGGUGUCUUAUCAAAUUGAGUCUUGUGAAGUCUUGUUUUCUUAGUGGAAUGUGUGUGCUCGUUUUUUAUAUUCAUUUGCUGAAGAGUGUUUCCCUCAUAAAU